rnacentral:rRNA from 1 species
GACGAACGCUGGCGGCGUGCUUAACACAUGCAAGUCGAACGGAAAGGCCCUGCUUGCAGGGUGCUCGAGUGGCGAACGGGUGAGUAACACGUGGGUGAUCCGCCCCUUACUUUGGGAUAAGCCUGGGAAACUGGGUCUAAUACUGGAUAGGACCAUGCUGUAGGUGGUGUGGUGGAAAGAUUAGUUUCGGUAAGGGAUGAGCUCGCGGCCUAUCAGCUUGUUGGUGGGGGAAUGGCCUACCAAGGCGUCGACGGGUAGCCGGCCUGAGAGGGUGGACGGCCACAUUGGGACUGAGAUACGGCCCAGACUCCUACGGGAGGCAGCAGUGGGGAAUAUUGCACAAUAGGCGCAAGCCUGAUGCAGCGACGCCGCGUGGGGGGUGACGGCCUUCGGGUUGUAAACACCUUUCAGCCAUGACGAAGCCCUUGUGGUGACGGUAGUGGUAGAAGAAGCACCGGCUAACUACGUG